UGGGGAAUAUUGCGCAAUGGGCGAAAGCCUGACGCAGCGACGCCGCGUGAGGGAUGAAGGUUUUCGGAUCGUAAACCUCUGUCAGAAGGGAAGAAACCGCACUGUGCUAAUCAGCAGUGCCUUGACGGUACCUUCAAAGGAAGCACCGGCUAACUCCGUGCCAGCAGCCGCGGUAAUACGGAGGGUGCAAGCGUUAAUCGGAAUUACUGGGCGUAAAGCGCACGUAGGCUGCUUUGUAAGUCAGGGGUGAAAUCCCACGGGUCAACCGUGGAACUGCCUUUGAAACUGCUUAGCUUGAAUCAGGGAAGGGGUGGCGGAAUUCCAGGGGUAGGAGUGAAAUCCGUAGAUAUCUGGAGGAACAGCAGUGGGGAAGGCGGCCGCCUGGACCGGUAUUGACGCUGGGGUGCUAAAGCGUGGGGAGCAAACAGG
rnacentral:rRNA from 1 species